CCGGUCACCAUUUAGGUCUGAGUUGGAUGUAAUUUCAAAAACUGUGCUAUUAAUUUAAGAAAUAUAGUGAUAAAUCUGGGGAUAUUACAAAAUCCCGCGAUAGGACAGAUUAUCUCGCGAGAUAGUGGUGACGUCACGCGUUCUUCCGGAAGUUCACAUUCAAACACGAGGAGCGAUUACGAGGGAGUUUUGUCUAUAUAUCAUUCUAAAUCUACUGUUGGGAAAAGCAGAACCUCAUCCAAAUAAAAAUAAACAAGCUGUUAAAGGCACUGUGUCCUACACAGACCCUCCAAAAUAUAACCACCCAAAACCCAAGUCAGUUGAAGGUCAACACAAACCAAAUAAAGAUGUGCAUUCUACAAACAAUAAAAAAAGAUCAAGUUUUGUGUCCACCACACUUAGAUGAGGCGUGCCCGACCCCUGACUUUGUCUACCCUACAUUAAGUUGCACACUUCAUGACAGUAAACAUCGGUAUCACAAUGGUGUGAUUGAUCUAUACCCUAGAAUAAGCUGUGACACUAUGAGACGUGAGGUAACACAACGAAAAAAUUACCGGAUGGAGACUACCUGAUUCUUCACCUAUGGCCUCAGCUUCAAAUGCAACAUGUAAGAAAUGCUAUAUGACUGUGUAUUGUGCAUUAUGAAUACAUCAAAGAUGUUGAUAACAAGGUCCAGCAACUGUCUGAGUUGGUGGAUAUUCUGUCAGAGACUGCGUGAACAACGUUAUGAACAGAAUGAUGUCAAAUUGUCUUAUAGCAAAGUUCAAUAUGAGGGGUGGUGGACAUCUGGAAAAUAAGUCUUUUAAAGGCACACCUUUGUAUUAUGUUAUUCAAGAUGCUGUGAAGAGGUGGAGCCCAAAUGCCACAGACUCAGAAAUAGAUGCAGCUAUGGCAGACGACCUCAAGCACGCUCCAGGAAGAGCUGGGGGUGGUGGAUACAAAAAAGCCAAACAGCUGUGACGUGUUAAAGAGAGAGUUCACCAAAAAAGGAAAAUUGUUAUAAUUUUCUUAUCCACAUGUUUCAAACCUGUAUAUUUAUAUUUUCUGCUGAACACAAAGAUUGAAGAAUGUUUGUAACUUCACAACCAAUUAACUGUCAAUAUUUUUUUUACAAUUGUAGUAAUGGGUUGUGGGAUCUGCUUUGUUAAAAACAUUCUUUCACAUAUCUUUGUGUUCAGCAGAACAUAGAAGGGUAUACAGGUUUGAAACAUGAGAGGGAAUAAAUGACUAAAUAUACAUUUUUGGGUGAACUAUCCCUUUAUAGAAAGUGUUUUGAAGUUGUUAUUAUAGUUAAAUGGUUAAAAAAAAUAAAAAGUGCUAAAUCAGAACAUGCUUCUUUUUUUGUUAUGGCCACAAAUAAUGUAUUCUUUAAUGUGUUUGUGAAGUACACGUGGUUAAAACGGUUUAUGGACGUUCAGGUCUGACUGGACCAAUUUUGAACUGAUUUUGAACCUUUGUGAAUAUGUGUUAAACCUCAAUACAAUUGAUUGCCUUUCACGAUGUUACACAAUGGGUGUAUAUUCAUUUUAUAUGCAUACAUUUAAACUAUGCAGCAACACAUUUAAACAUCCAGAAGACGGCACAUUUAGACGUCCAGGGACGUGCAGAAAAGACGUGUAAUUCACGGCCAGAUGACGUCAAAGACGUCGGCUCAACUUUCAUUUUGGAUAUAUUUUUCAACGCGGACGGGACGUGACGAACGGACGUCUUUUCAACGGUCAUCACACGUCCAAAUGUUUGUUGGGUAGUCAGUUA